UGUGCUCAUCACAUCCCAGGCUGUAAAUGAGCGCUUGGAAGCGUCCCUCGAAGGAGAGUCGGACGGCAUCAGGCUGGCAAAGAGCAU
rnacentral:SRP_RNA from 1 species